GUAGAAUGCUUUCAUUGGCAUAAGAAGUGGAGAGUUGGGAAGGUAGAGGUCUAAAAGGAAUUUUAGAGCAACACCCUCUACAGUGUAAUUCAUGAAUCUUGUAAAAUGCUUAGUGUGCUUGGAAUCCUAGAAACUGAUAAAGAGGUGGAGCUUUGUAUAUUGAUUGACAUGGGGCUGAAAUCAUCAGCCUUUGUGGAUGAGGGCACUGCAGUCAACCGAGUUACACAAGCAAACCUGAGCAACUGGCACAUGAAAAAGGAUCCACCUGGGAAUAUAUUCUUUCGUGGGCCUGGUUUGAUGAGUAAACUGAAGUUCAGAAAGGUUCCCAUAUGGUCAGUGGAUGAAUCGGGAUUAACAGGACCAUAUAACAAUGCCAUCAUUCUUUAACAGUAUCACGUCAAUCAACAAGACCCUGGCAACCACCGUUCUACUGUCUGUCUCUAUGAAUUUGACUACUCUGGGGACUCCAUACUUGCAACUAUGAGAUGAAUAUGAUCACUGCAAAUCCCCUGGUGAGAAGAUCCCAACUCAGAGAUUACAUAACUUACCAAAAUCAUAAGGAUGGAACUCAUCUAAGAGCCGAUUCCCCUGUUACUGGUGCCAUUCCCAGAAGAAAACAGUGUAAAAACGAUGUGAAUCCAAGAAAGAAGGGAAAAUGGAAUUGGAAAGCUAAUGGGCUUUAAAAGCUUCCUCAUCUUCAUCUAUGAGCACCCUGAUGGGCAGCAUUACGCAUCUGGAAAAUGAAAAGUGCUCUCAGAGCACAAUUUUAAUAUUAUUAAGCUUCUCAUGGUGAAUUGAGGUUUCUUGUACACAGAAGUGCUGAAGAAAAGCUCAACCCUGCUAAGUACUAAUAGUGUAGAAACCAGGGGAUGGGCAGGGGGAGGGACAGCAACACUAAUUGGAAGCUGAUGCAGUGGUGAAAUAGAAAAGCAUUCCCCUUAGGGUUCAACAGCAAUAAUAAAGGAGGGAGAAGAGAUUUCUCAAGGUAGGUUGAGAUGGAUCCUCAACAAUGAUUUGACUAAUUCCAACUAAUAGGAGAAACUGUGCCAUUGUGAGCCAUUGUCAGUACAUUUUGUCAUUUGAGGUAAAUCAGGCCUCCUAAGACACUAGAAGCAAAAAUCCCUUUAUCAGUAGGUUAAAUCAUAUUUCAGUAUUUUUGAAGAAAGCAUAUUUACUUUCAUAAAAAACACUCCCAGUAAAUAUCCUUUAAUGCUGUAAGAUGAGACAUUUCUUAACCAGCUGAAGUGCUUUUGCAGUUUGACAGGCCAGGGCCCUGGGUGGAACGUGGCAGUCACAGGGGCCGACUGGCAUCAUGCCCUCUGCUGUUUCAUACCCACCCCAGGAGACUGUUUCAUGAUUCCCAGAGUGCCUUCUAGGUGUGGUCACCCCAAAUUCACUGUCCCUUCUUUAAACUACUAAUCCCAGAGCAGGAAGUCCUUUCUCUUGUUUCCCCAAAGCCCAAGGAAAUCAGUUUAAAGUUUUCACAAAGAAUUAUACUUAAAACAAGGUGAAAAAGGCAUAAUCAAGAAUGUAUAGUUUUAUGAGAGACCCUACUAUACAAGCCCAAGGCAAGCAUAAGCAGCUUAGAAUCUUCACUUGGAUUCCUGACUUCCUGACUAUUUC